rnacentral:tRNA from 1 species
GGCUCAUUGGUCUAGGGGCAUGACUCCUGCUUUGGGUGCAGGAGGUCCUUGGUUCAACUCCUGGAUGAGCCC